GAUGAACGCUGGCGGCGUGCCUAAUACAUGCAAGUCGAGCGAACGGACGAGAAGCUUGCUUCUCUGAUGUUAGCGGCGGACGGGUGAGUAACACGUGGAUAACCUACCUAUAAGACUGGGAUAACUUCGGGAAACCGGAGCUAAUACCGGAUAAUAUUUUGAACCGCAUGGUUCAAAAGUGAAAGACGGUCUUGCUGUCACUUAUAGAUGGAUCCGCGCUGCAUUAGCUAGUUGGUAAGGUAACGGCUUACCAAGGCAACGAUGCAUAGCCGACCUGAGAGGGUGAUCGGCCACACUGGAACUGAGACACGGUCCAGACUCCUACGGGAGGCAGCAGUAGGGAAUCUUCCGCAAUGGGCGAAAGCCUGACGGAGCAACGCCGCGUGAGUGAUGAAGGUCUUCGGAUCGUAAAACUCUGUUAUUAGGGAAGAACAUAUGUGUAAGUAACUGUGCACAUCUUGACGGUACCUAAUCAGAAAGCCACGGCUAACUACGUGCCAGCAGCCGCGGUAAUACGUAGGUGGCAAGCGUUAUCCGGAAUUAUUGGGCGUAAAGCGCGCGUAGGCGGUUUUUUAAGUCUGAUGUGAAAGCCCACGGCUCAACCGUGGAGGGUCAUUGGAAACUGGAAAACUUGAGUGCAGAAGAGGAAAGUGGAAUUCCAUGUGUAGCGGUGAAAUGCGCAGAGAUAUGGAGGAACACCAGUGGCGAAGGCGACUUUCUGGUCUGUAACUGACGCUGAUGUGCGAAAGCGUGGGGAUCAAACAGGAUUAGAUACCCUGGUAGUCCACGCCGUAAACGAUGAGUGCUAAGUGUUAGGGGGUUUCCGCCCCUUAGUGCUGCAGCUAACGCAUUAAGCACUCCGCCUGGGGAGUACGACCGCAAGGUUGAAACUCAAAGGAAUUGACGGGGACCCGCACAAGCGGUGGAGCAUGUGGUUUAAUUCGAAGCAACGCGAAGAACCUUACCAAAUCUUGACAUCCUUUGACAACUCUAGAGAUAGAGCCUUCCCCUUCGGGGGACAAAGUGACAGGUGGUGCAUGGUUGUCGUCAGCUCGUGUCGUGAGAUGUUGGGUUAAGUCCCGCAACGAGCGCAACCCUUAAGCUUAGUUGCUAUCAUUAAGUUGGGCACUCUAAGUUGACUGCCGGUGACAAACCGGAGGAAGGUGGGGAUGACGUCAAAUCAUCAUGCCCCUUAUGAUUUGGGCUACACACGUGCUACAAUGGACAAUACAAAGGGCAGCGAAACCGCGAGGUCAAGCAAAUCCCAUAAAGUUGUUCUCAGUUCGGAUUGUAGUCUGCAACUCGACUACAUGAAGCUGGAAUCGCUAGUAAUCGUAGAUCAGCAUGCUACGGUGAAUACGUUCCCGGGUCU
rnacentral:rRNA from 1 species